UUCCUCCACUAUCCGCCUCUCCUGUCUCUGUUUUUCCCCUUCUUACAUCCAUCCAUCGGGUUGCAAACGAGCAAGGAAGCGGAUGCGGGCACGAUGACGGGCUCCAUCCACAAAGUCCCUGUCGACACCUUCACCAUCCUCCCCCUGUUCUAAGCUGCUGCCUAUCCCAAAAUCUUCCCCGCCGGAUCUCUCCACUGCCGUGAGCGCCCCCUGGCCGGCGGCCGUGGCGUCGGUCGGGUCCUCCUCUGUCUCCGAGGCUCUCCUGCCGUCCCUUGCUCUGGCUUCUCCCAUACAUCUCCUCACCUGGACGGCGGUCCGCGACCUGCUGGUUGGUUUGCUGUGUGGGCACUGGAUGACCAGCAGCAUCGCCGCCUGCUCUGAGUCUGGGGGCGCGGCGUUGUGUGGCCGCUGCCCGCAUCACCCGGACGACGGCCAGGCGAGGUGGUGUGCACUGCAGAAGACCGUGGCUGAACCGGUGUACUGGUACCGGUAUGUGUAUCACUGCUAGGACAAUUCAGAUAAUUCGCGUAGCUAAUACUUGCUGGGAUAAGGAUGGUCAAAGCAUUGAGGCCCAGCGAGUUGCAGAGCUCCUCAUGUGCUAUUUUCCUUUACAAUGGUUUACUAUAGAUGUGUGGAGAAUAAUUAUUUAUAUGACAUUCAUUAUUGAUCCACAACAUAUCUGAUUUUAUAGAUUCCAUUAUUUAAGUUGAAUAUGGUUCAAAAAAACUAUGUCUAUCCUAUACUUAGCUGUUGUAAAUUUGAUUAUGUUCUUUUUGCAUGUUGUGGUGUCGUAUUUUAGACGACACCGAAUAUUUAACUUCCAUCAUUUAAACGUGUUAACAAUAUAUUGUAUCCAGUUCCGUGCUAAGAAAAAAAUUAAGUACAUGUGGAUAUAUUUUCUAUUAAACCCGCUGAGCAUUAUUGUAUCUGUAUCACUAUUUUUGUAUGCAAGUUCUAUGCUAGGAAAAAAAAGUCUUCAUUACAGGUGGGCAUACUUGCUCUACUUCAAGAUAGCUUUCCAUUUCUCAUCCAAGUUACUUUGUUAACUCAUCUGUAGCUGAACUGUUUGGGAGAAGCAAAAGAGUGUAGUCCUUGGAAUUUUGAUUGUCGGUUUACUCAAAGGACUUAAUUCCUAAGUGUUUUCAUGCCUUAGAACACUAAAUGCAUCAUGUUCUCACAUAUGACUUAUUUGUUCAAACCAACUUAGUUGUAGCAAAUUAGUGGAAAGGGAUACAUUUACCUCAGAUAAGUUUUUUUCAGAAUCCAUUGCUAUUCUUGCUAUCCGGAGUAGCAACAUGUUAUCAAAAUAAUUUUUCGGGUGGAAGCUCUAGCUUUGUGUCCUCAAGAACAACAUAAUACUUGCAAAAAUUAGGCAAAAACAUCUCAGUACUGGUAGGUACAAACUAAUAUGUCAGCUCCCCCUGUACGCCUCUUUUCGUGGAUCAAAAGGAAGUUCUAAAUUUCCUGUUUUCGUUAGCUAGACAAAAGUAUAUUGUUUCAACAAAUAGCAAUUGAUAAAAAGUCUCUCUUUUUUGGUCAAAUAAAUUUCUAAGUUCACCGAGUUAUUGUUUCUUUGGUUGCAUUCAAAACCUGAAGUUCUAUGGUUUGACCUGCCUUUGGAUAUGCAAACAGCCUUCCUCAGAAUUAUGUCAAAGCAUCUGAAAAGACAGAGAUCAAAAGACUUGACAACUUACAUAAGAAUUAGGUUUGGUCAUAUAGGCCGCCAGGUAUAUAUUAUAAAGAACAUCUUUACUCUAAUUUCCCUUUUUUUAAAUAACCGUUGUUCGAUCAACUCACUACCCCACCUUUAUGUCCGCAUGGUUCAGUCUUAGGUGCUGCAACUGAGUGCUGCUGCCAAAUCUGCUGUUGGCCAUCUACUUGCUCUGUCCUGGUUAUACCGUAACCGGGAUAGAUAGAAAUUAUACAGCGCAGGAAAUGUCCUACACUGUGCUAUUUGUCACAAGUGAUGCUAUUGGGUAAUAUCUAUCCUGGUUAUAACUUCAGAUAUGCUUACACAAUUGCCUAUAACUUAGAGAUUCAGUUAACUUGCAAUUGCCUGUGUAUAUAUACGUUUUUAUGUUCAGUUACUUUAACUACUCUGUCCAAAAAUGUGAUACUUUAGUCCUCUCCUUUUAUAGCUCUUACUUUGCAUGGAACUUUGCAGUUAUCCUCGCUGUCUCUUCCAUCAGGUGUUAUAGUUUGAAUCAACCAUAUCGUGCCAUAUCAUCUAUUUUGCUUACUGAGCUAUGCAAUCUUUAUUCAUAUAAUUAAAAUGGAGGGUUGUGUGCCAAGAAACCAUAAUCGACCUGUCCAGUCGAUAUAUGCAUCAUCCCUGAAGCACGAAGAAAGACCCAAUAAUUUAUUCUGCAUCCUGCCAAUUUUUCAGUGUUACUACAAUACAUAACCAUUUGCACCUCUGGCAGCACACGUUGGGAGAUAAUACUCUUCUUUCAGGGUACUUAUCUAACAUGACAUACGAUUUAUUAUCUAUUUCAUUUGCAUUCUUUGAUUAUUGCAUACUGUAUUUCAUUGCCAUUUUUGAUAAUUUCUCUAGACUAUAGAAAAAACCAUACUUGCAAAGUUAUAAUAGCAGCUAAAUGUAUACUCAUUGUCCACAGUGCAGGAAAUGAGAAGAAAACUUCAACUGAACUAUUCCCAGCUAAAUAGAUCACUGCAUCUGGCCACGUAAAUUUGUUGGGACAGAUUUCAACUGAACGGUAUAGGCUGCAGUAGAUCAAAUAGCAUUAAUUCCAUCCUCUUUCCCUUGCAGCAAAUAUAAUUAAUCUAGAUCAACUGAACUCCAGCUAAAGGUCAAACAGGCAAGAGCCCAAAUUGAUGAACCAAGUAGUUUAUGUGAAAACAUAUAUUUUGUCUCAAGGCGUGCCCACAAAUCGUGGUGUAAAAUAUUAGUCACCUAUCUGCCGCUUUAGCUGGGUAUGAAUAGCACACAACUAAUGUAUUUGUUCAUGCCCUAGCUGUGCCAAAGAGGGAAACAAUCAUCAUCUUCUUUUCUGACGAGGACAGUGACACAAGGCACAGACAGGUAGCAGAGCUGGAGAAUAGCUAGAUCACCUUCCUUAUGUUAUCGUAGUGUAGGUCAGAAAUAUUAGAUAAUCUCCCCUUCCAAUAUAAAUCCAUCUACGAUAUAAUCCAGUAAACAAGCGUCCUCUGGCUUACUAUUGCUAUAAACUAAUGUGUGUCCCAUAUAUGCAUUAGCAUUGUUAAUGUUUUUACUUAUAUCAUCUGCUUAUAUGACCUCUGCAAUAAGUUCAAAUUGUACAAAAUAUGCACACUAAAAAAAUGUAGCACAAUGGGUGCGGCGUGCCGCCACGCCAUAAAGAUGCAGUUUGGUUCAAUGGAUUGUAAGAGCUCAUUGAACUCGCAUAUACGGAUUGUUUUGAGCUACAUUAUUUUUGUCUUCUUGCUCAAAGGUCAAAAAUGUUUCUUAUUUUAGAUUUGUCUUAUUUCGAUAAUUUAUCAGCCAGUAUUUGCAAGAGUUGCUCACUAUGCUCUGGAUCAGCCAAGGUAGUUAUGUAAUGAAUAAACUUUUAUUCGUCCAAGCCCUUAUGAUGAUGCUCUUAAAUUUAAAUGCAGCAAUUAGUUCCAUAUUUAGUGGAAGUGUAUUUUUGAAUGAUCCUCACAACUGAUGUUGAUCAAGCAGUAGCAGAGUUAGCAUCUUAAAUUUUUUAUUCUACAAAUAGGAAACACAGUCUCAGUAUCUUUGAUUUUGUUCAGAAAAAUAGCUGAAGAUUAAUGUAUGCCUAUUUUGUAACAUAUAGAAGUUCCUCUCGCUGCCAAAUUUACGGACCUUUAUUUGUUUGGGCCUCCUGAGGAAACGGUCGUCCAAAAAAAGGAUCUUUAUUUGUUUGGGCCUCGUGAGGAAACUGUCGUCUGAAAAGAGGUGUCGCUGCUUGUGUCAAGUGUACAAAUUGUUGAGCCGAUUGUCCAUGCCAAUGUUGUCUUGCGAGGAGUGGAUUGUUCAGCUGUAGGUCAGGAUAAUGUUGGCAUCCCUGCUCCUGAAGCCCCAAAGCAUGUUCCAGGUCCUGCUGAGACAUCAACUCCGUCACUAUCCAUGGAUCUCACGCCACAGACUGCAGGCAACAUAUUCAGCUUCCGUUAUUGAUGAGACUGCCUCUGACGCCAUUGGGAGAAUGAAGCGCAACAAUCCCGGUGAUGGUGAGCACCCAGGUCGAAGAAAGGGUUACAUUUUUCGGAUGCUGAUGACUAGGUUCCUGGGCACGUGUUCGUGAGCUUAACGUGAACAGCAUGGUGGUUCUAUUGUCAGCGAUUUUGUUUAUGCUUGUGUUUUUACUGUCUACAAGCUACUAUUUGGUUGGUGUAUGCAACAAGGUUGCUUCGCUAUGGCCCCCGGUUCUGUUGUUCAAGGCCCAUAUGUUUGGGCCCCGAGUCCUCUUCUAUCUUUGUACAUCUUAGGACACUUAACUCAUAACACUAGCGAUGCCAAGAAGUUGAUAUUCCAUUUGAUCGAAACUCUGAAACAUGAAGAGUUUGUCAAA